rnacentral:rRNA from 1 species
GAUUAAGUUAUUAAGGGCGCACGGUGGAUGCCUUGGCACUAGAAGCCGAUGAAGGACGUUACUAACGACGAUAUGCUUUGGGGAGCUGUAAGUAAGCUUUGAUCCAGAGAUUUCCGAAUGGGGAAACCCAGCAUGAGUUAUGUCAUGUUAUCGAUAUGUGAAUACAUAGCAUAUCAGAAGGCACACCCGGAGAACUGAAACAUCUUAGUACCCGGAGGAAGAGAAAGAAAAUUCGAUUCCCUUAGUAGCGGCGAGCGAAACGGGAAGAGCCCAAACCAACAAGCUUGCUUGUUGGGGUUGUAGGACACUCUAUACGGAGUUACAAAGGACGACAUUAGACGAAUCAUCUGGAAAGAUGAAUCAAAGAAGGUAAUAAUCCUGUAGUCGAAAAUGUUGUCUCUCUUGAGUGGAUCCUGAGUACGACGGAGCACGUGAAAUUCCGUCGGAAUCUGGGAGGACCAUCUCCUAAGGCUAAAUACUCUCUAGUGACCGAUAGUGAACCAGUACCGUGAGGGAAAGGUGAAAAGCACCCCGGAAGGGGAGUGAAAUAGAACCUGAAACCGUGUGCUUACAAGUAGUCAGAGCCCGUUAAUGGGUGAUGGCGUGCCUUUUGUAGAAUGAACCGGCGAGUUACGAUUUGAUGCAAGGUUAAGCAGUA